ensembl:lncRNA
GGCUCGAUAUCUGCGCUGGGUGCGCAGAACGACCGGAUGUAGUUCAGCAUGCGCUGCAAACUGUAGACACCGUACACACCCGGGCGCGCACCGCAUACGAGGGGAGUGAAAUUCAGCUAUGCAGCCCAUGAUGUAACCAGUGUCGCGUAUAUUAAAAUGAGCCUGCCUCAGGACUGCACAGACGGGGGGAACUCCGCCGUUAAUUAAGAGGACAGCUUUGAUUGACAACCGGCUGAGCAGGUGUGCCGAAACCCAUCGCUUAUGAACGUUCUCCUUGAUCCCUCCUGCUGUGGGCACCAGCAGUAUCACGACUGAGCACUGGGAGACUGGGAACCGGUUCGGAACAGCCGAGCUGCCAGAGACAUUAGUCAUCAACCAACUGUCGAUCAUCUGACCAAACAGAACCUUCCUACUCUGUAGCCAAGCACCUUUGUUGCAUGACGGCGCGCGACGUAUAAUCGCUCAAACAUUUCCUAUUCGGAGACACCAAUGUACCCUCGGGACCCGUGACGAUUUGUGGACGAAAGCGGAUCUUUGGGUCGCGGAUUCGACAACGAGAACAGUGUGCACAACGGAGAUCGAGGAAAAGAUCUGGAGAUUGAGCAGGAAGCGAGAUGUGGAAUCGUGUUAGACAGACUAUUCUAUUGGAAUGCGGCCCAUACAACUAUAAACUAUCAAUAUAAAUGGAACACGCGCCGCGGCCUGUGGAGACGGGGUCGUUGAAGGGGCAGGCAUCCUUCACAUCGCCAAACCUCCAGAACAGAGUUGUGAAGGCAGCUCUCACACCGGGGAACAGGGGAGAGAGACCCUAAAACGACGUGCAAGAGUAGGACAGAGUGGGUGAGGGUUCUACAUAACCCAUCAGGAGAAAGAGGGCAGUGAGUCUGAAUUACCCUUGUUCUGUAAGAGGAAAAUCAAUCAAUACAGCUACAUCCAUAAUUCCUGUGUGGGUUUUCAGCUAGAUAAUAAUGAUGUUACAGGAUGCUGCAUUGUAAGUGCUUUUUGGUGGGUUUUGAGUUUGGGCUCUUUUGGCGUUUUAAGUUUGACUUCUUUGCUGAAUGUUUUAUUUUUAUUUUUUAUAUUAGUUGAUCUAAAUCCAACUUUUUCCUAUUUUUUAAACUCCAACCUUGAAUAAGAAAGUGUAUGCUUUGGAAUAAAGGGCCCUUCAUCUUCAGACUUUGUGACUUCAGACAUUUAAUUCCUCAUAGUGCCACCCUGUCUCUCUCUACCAUUUGCUCUCCUGAAUUAUUCGGUACGGUUCUGUGGCUCAUUAAACACACAUUCACCUCAUCCCUCUUUAAAUCUGCAUGAAAGUCUUAACAGAUUUAACUUUGUGCGAGGAAGAUAAGUUGGCCUGUGUGACACUAAAUAUGACAGUUAUAAGACAUUAAAGGAACAAUCAACCCUAAAUAUGAAUACUAAAUAUUAAGGAUAUAAUGAGUUUAAAUUCUGAAGUUUAU